CCAUGCCACUGACUGCUGCCACAAAACCACACCAAAUAUCCGAUGUAGAAUCAUGGAGGAUUAUUAUCAAACAAGCAGUGUGUGCCACCUGCCUGCUGUCAUCUUCAGAACCAAGAGGGGGCUGGGGGUCUGUGCCGACCCCGACAGUGUGAGAGUUCAGCGUUGUAUGGAAGAGCUGGACUCAGCCAACACCGGGGAAACGGUUGGUUGAGGAGAAGCUGUGCUAGAUGCCACGCACCCACCUCCACUCUCUCAGCUUCUGGGAGUUCCGUGGCCUGAACUCUUUUGUCA